AGUUCGAUUAUGGCUCAGAUUGAACGCUGGCGGGAUGCUUUUUCUACACAUGCAAGUCGAACGGCAGCACGGACUUCGGUCUGGUGGCGAGUGGCGAACGGGUGAGUAAUGUAUCGGAACGUGCCUAGUAGCGGGGGAUAACUACGCGAAAGCGUGCAGCUACUACCCUAAGGCCGCCCUUCGGGGGAAAGCGGGGACCUUCGGGCCUCGCACUACGAGAGCGGCCGAUAUCGGAUUAGCCAGUUGGUGGGGUAACGGCUCACCAAGGCGACGAUCCGUGGCUGGUUUGAGAGGACGACCAGCCACACUGGGACUGAGACACACGGCCCAGACUCCUACGGGAGGGGCAGCAGUGGGGAAUUUGGACAAUGGGGGAAACCCCGAUCCAGCCAUCCGGCGUGUGCGAUGAAGGCCUUCGGGUUGUAAAAGCACUUUUGGCAGGAAAAGAAACGGCACGGGAUAAUACCCGUGCAACUGACGUACCUGCAGAAUAAGCACCGGCUAACUACGUGCCAGCAGCCGCGGUAAUACGUAGGGUGCAAGCGUUAAUCGGAAUUACUGGGCGUAAAGCGUGCGCAGGCGGUUCGGAAAGAAAGAUGUGUGAAAUCCCAGAGCUUAACUUUGGAACUGCAUUUUAACUACCGAGCUAGAGUGUGUCAGAGGGAGGUGGAAUUCCGCGUAGCAGUGAAAUGCGUAGAUAUGUGAGGAACACCGAUGGCGAAGGGCAGCCUCCUGGGAUAACACUGACGCUCAUGCACGAAAGCGUGGGGAGCAAACAGGAUUAGAUACCCUGGUAGUCCACGCCCUAAACGAUGUCAACUAGGCUGUUGGGGCCUUCUGGCCUUGGUAGCGCAGCUAACGCGUGAAGUUGACCGCCUGGGGAGUACGGUCGCAAGAUUAAACUCAAAGGAAUUGACGGGGACCCGCACAAGCGGUGGAUGAUGUGGAUUAAUUCGAUGCAACGCGAAAACCUUACCUACCCUUGACAUGUCUGGAAUCCCGAAGAGAUUUGGGAGUGCUCGCAAGAGAACCGGAACACAGGUGCUGCAUGGCUGUCGUCAGCUCGUGUCGUGAGAUGUUGGGUUAAGUCCUGCAACGAGCGCAACCCUUUGUCAUUAGUUGCUACGAAAGGGGCACUCUAAUGAGACUGCCGGUGACAAACCGAGGAAGGUGGGGAUGACGUCAAGUCCUCCAUGGCCCUUAUGGGUAGGGCUUCACACGUCAUACAAUGGUCGGGACAGAGGGUCGCCAACCCGCGAGGGGAGCCAAUCCCAGAAACCCGAUCGUAGUCCGGAUCGCAGCCUGCAACUCGACUGCGUGAAGUCGGAAUCGCUAGUAAUCGCGGAUCAGCAUGUCGCGGUGAAUACGUUCCCGGUCUUGUACAUAUUCGCCCGUCACACCAUGGGAGUGGGUUUUACCAGAAGUAGUUAGCCUAACCGUAAGGAGGGCGAUUACCACGCGGUAGGAUUCAUGACUGGGGUGAAGUCGUAACAAGGUAA
rnacentral:rRNA from 1 species